rnacentral:rRNA from 1 species
AACGCGAAGAACCUUACCAAGUCUUGACAUCCCUCUGACCGGUCCGUAAUGGGACUUUCCCUUCGGGGCAGAGGAGACAGGUGGUGCAUGGUUGUCGUCAGCUCGUGUCGUGAGAUGUUGGGUUAAGUCCCGCAACGAGCGCAACCCUUAUCUUUAGUAGCCAGCGCGUGAAGGUGGGCACUCUAGAGAGACUGCCAGGGAGAACCUGGAGGAAGGUGGGGAUGACGUCAAAUCAUCAUGCCCCUUAUGACUUGGGCUACACACGUGCUACAAUGGCGUAAACAAAGGGAAGCGACCCCGUGAAGGUGUGCAAAUCCCAAAAAUAGCGUCUCAGUUCGGAUUGUAGUCUGCAACUCGACUACAUGAAGCUGGAAUCGCUAGUAAUCGCGAAUCAGAAUGUCGCGGUGAAUACGUUCCCGGGUCUUGUACACACCG